ACAAGUUCUAACCUGCAGCCAAUUUUAGUCCCGCUGCAGAGCCAGGCAAAGGACAACUGUGUUGGAAGAUAAUUGAAGUGUUUAGAUAAAAACAAAAUUAUAAUUUAAAAAGUAUUUUUAAAAAUUUGAUUUAAUUUAAAAAAAAUACUUUUAGAAAUUGCUUUUGGUUAUUCAAACACCCUAAUGUCAUAGGUCAUGAGAUUGGUGUCAAGAUUAGAAGGGUGUUUGAAAUUGAGGAUAGGCUAAAAAUUGAGGCUCUCCGCUCUUUUUUCAC